UUAAGCGACUAAGCGUACACGGUGGAUGCCCUGGCAGUCAGAGGCGAUGAAGGACGUGCUAAUCUGCGAAAAGCGUCGGUAAGGUGAUAUGAACCGUUAUAGCCGGCGAUGUCCGAAUGGGGAAACCCAGUGCAAUUCGUUGCACUAUCGUUAACUGAAUACAUAGGUUAACGAGGCGAACCGGGGGAACUGAAACAUCUAAGUACCCCGAGGAAAAGAAAUCAACCGAGAUUCCCCCAGUAGCGGCGAGCGAACGGGGAGCAGCCCAGAGUCUGAAUCAGCUUGUGUGUUAGUGGAACGGUCUGGAAAGUCCGACGGUACAGGGUGAUAGUCCCGUACACCAAAAUGCACAGGCUGUGAACUCGAAGAGUAGGGCGGGACACGUGGUAUCCUGUCUGAAUAUGGGGGGACCAUCCUCCAAGGCUAAAUACUCCUGACUGACCGAUAGUGAACCAGUACCGUGAGGGAAAGGCGAAAAGAACCCCGGCGAGGGGAGUGAAAAAGAACCUGAAACCGUGUACGUACAAGCAGUGGGAGCACCUUCGGGUGUGACUGCGUACCUUUUGUAUAAUGGGUCAGCGACUUAUAUUCUGUAGCAAGGUUAACCGUAUAGGGGAGCCGCAGGGAAACCGAGUCUUAACUGGGCGUUAAGUUGCAGGGUAUAGACCCGAAACCCGGUGAUCUAGCCAUGGGCAGGUUGAAGGUUGGGUAACACUAACUGGAGGACCGAACCGACUAAUGUUGAAAAAUUAGCGGAUGACUUGUGGCUGGGGGUGAAAGGCCAAUCAAACCGGGAGAUAGCUGGUUCUCCCCGAAAGCUAUUUAGGUAGCGCCUCGUGAACUCAUCUUCGGGGGUAGAGCACUGUUUCGGCUAGGGGGUCAUCCCGACUUACCAACCCGAUGCAAACUACGAAUACCGAAGAAUGUUAUCACGGGAGACACACGGCGGGUGCUAACGUCCGUCGUGAAGAGGGAAACAACCCAGACCGCCAGCUAAGGUCCCAAAGUCAUGGUUAAGUGGGAAACGAUGUGGGAAGGCACAGACAGCCAGGAUGUUGGCUUAGAAGCAGCCAUCAUUUAAAGAAAGCGUAAUAGCUCACUGGUCGAGUCGGCCUGCGCGGAAGAUGUAACGGGGCUAAACCAUGCACCGAAGCUGCGGCAGCGACACUAUGUGUUGUUGGGUAGGGGAGCGUUCUGUAAGCCUGCGAAGGUGUGCUGUGAGGCAUGCUGGAGGUAUCAGAAGUGCGAAUGCUGACAUAAGUAACGAUAAAGCGGGUGAAAAGCCCGCUCGCCGGAAGACCAAGGGUUCCUGUCCAACGUUAAUCGGGGCAGGGUGAGUCGACCCCUAAGGCGAGGCCGAAAGGCGUAGUCGAUGGGAAACAGGUUAAUAUUCCUGUACUUGGUGUUACUGCGAAGGGGGGACGGAGAAGGCUAUGUUAGCCGGGCGACGGUUGUCCCGGUUUAAGCAUGUAGGCUGGUUAUCCAGGCAAAUCCGGAUAAUCAAGGCUGAGGUGUGAUGACGAGGCACUACGGUGCUGAAGUAACAAAUGCCCUGCUUCCAGGAAAAGCCUCUAAGCAUCAGGUAACAUCAAAUCGUACCCCAAACCGACACAGGUGGUCAGGUAGAGAAUACCAAGGCGCUUGAGAGAACUCGGGUGAAGGAACUAGGCAAAAUGGUGCCGUAACUUCGGGAGAAGGCACGCUGGUGUGUAGGUGAAGUCCCUGCGGAUGGAGCUGAGACCAGUCGAAGAUACCAGCUGGCUGCAACUGUUUAUUAAAAACACAGCACUGUGCAAACACGAAAGUGGACGUAUACGGUGUGACGCCUGCCCGGUGCCGGAAGGUUAAUUGAUGGGGUUAUCCGUAAGGAGAAGCUCUUGAUCGAAGCCCCGGUAAACGGCGGCCGUAACUAUAACGGUCCUAAGGUAGCGAAAUUCCUUGUCGGGUAAGUUCCGACCUGCACGAAUGGCGUAAUGAUGGCCAGGCUGUCUCCACCCGAGACUCAGUGAAAUUGAACUCGCUGUGAAGAUGCAGUGUACCCGCGGCAAGACGGAAAGACCCCGUGAACCUUUACUAUAGCUUGACACUGAACAUUGAGCCUUGAUGUGUAGGAUAGGUGGGAGGCUUUGAAGCGUGGACGCCAGUCUGCGUGGAGCCAACCUUGAAAUACCACCCUUUAAUGUUUGAUGUUCUAACGUUGGCCCCUGACCGGGGUUGCGGACAGUGUCUGGUGGGUAGUUUGACUGGGGCGGUCUCCUCCCAAAGCGUAACGGAGGAGCACGAAGGUUAGCUAAUCCUGGUCGGACAUCAGGAGGUUAGUGCAAUGGCAUAAGCUAGCUUGACUGCGAGCGUGACGGCGCGAGCAGGUGCGAAAGCAGGUCAUAGUGAUCCGGUGGUUCUGAAUGGAAGGGCCAUCGCUCAACGGAUAAAAGGUACUCCGGGGAUAACAGGCUGAUACCGCCCAAGAGUUCAUAUCGACGGCGGUGUUUGGCACCUCGAUGUCGGCUCAUCACAUCCUGGGGCUGAAGUAGGUCCCAAGGGUAUGGCUGUUCGCCAUUUAAAGUGGUACGCGAGCUGGGUUUAGAACGUCGUGAGACAGUUCGGUCCCUAUCUGCCGUGGGCGCUGGAGAAUUGAGGGGGGCUGCUCCUAGUACGAGAGGACCGGAGUGGACGCAUCACUGGUGUUCGGGUUGUCAUGCCAAUGGCACUGCCCGGUAGCUAAAUGCGGAAGAGAUAAGUGCUGAAAGCAUCUAAGCACGAAACUUGCCCCGAGAUGAGUUCUCCCUGAGACUUUAAGUCUCCUGAAGGAACGUUGAAGACGACGACGUUGAUAGGCCGGGUGUGUAAGCGCAGCGAUGCGUUGAGCUAACCGGUACUAAUGAACCGUGAGGCUUAACCU
rnacentral:rRNA from 1 species